rnacentral:rRNA from 1 species
UAAAAGUCGUAACAAGGUCUCCGUUGGUGAACCAGCGGAGGGAUCAUUACUGAG